UUUUAAGUACCCGUGGGCUUGCAGGCAGAGAGGUAUCUAGCCUUAUCUCUGAGUGAAAAUUCAGCUCUCAGUUCCCUGCAAACUUUUCCUUGUUCAAAUUAGGGCAUCUCAAUGCAAGAGCUUGUUAAAGUUUCAUGUUAUAAGGGAUGGGUUUGCCUUGGCAGAUUAAUUUAACAGCAGGAAAAUCUACUUCUGUUUUUCUUAAUGCCAAGUUUUAAAGCCUGCUUACUUUGUGGGUGGUGUGAUUCAAGAGGAAGCAGGGUAGCCACAGGCAUGGGAUCAGAACUUCGUCCUUAUGCACAUGAGUGGGUGUGUGGGUGUGAGAGAAAAGCAGGUACGAGGUUUCUAUCCUUCCUCCUUGCACUCAAAUCCCUCCCUGGGCAUCUCGGGGUGCUGUGCAUGUUUGUGACCAAACACACUGGGCCAGUGGGCUGCCCCUCCAUUUCUGCUGGGCUGGGAAGCCUGAAAAAGUGGCAGACAGGCUCCUGGAUUUGAACCAAGAGGAGACAGAGGAAGCCAUAAUGAAUGGAAAUUGAAGAAUUCCUCCUCAUAGGAAGAUCAAGGGAUAGGAUAUAGCCCUGGUUGGCAGUGGAACUGAAAGUAAGCUUAUCCGUUUAAGUACAAUGGAAAUUGUUGCUGCAUAACACCUUCAGCUGUGACCUUGAAGAGCAAUCCUUCUGGAUUCAAAGAACAUUCUUUCACAAUGAAAAACCUGGAGAUAGUUAUGGUAAACUACAGAAGAGCACAAAUACAAGAACUGUGAUCAGUAUGGGUGCUGUGAGAGAAAGCCCGUGUCUUUUCUUUAAAGGAGGUGAGGAUACCAUUGAAAUAAACACAAUAAUUAGUGCUUUGUCAUGGGGCUCAUGGAAGGGGUUGGUUGGCAGAUGUCAGAAACACAUGGACAUCUCCCAAGUGAACAGCAAGAGAUAUUAAAAAAAGAAAAACAAUUGAGGGUCAUAACCUGACAGGUAAUCAAGAAAUUGAGAUGUCUGAAGAAUGACAGAACUUUGAGACCAGAUGGGAUCCAGCAUGCUGGAAAAUAUGGCAUUCAGAGACAGGGGGGAAAGAGUAAUCGCUUUAGUGACCUGCAGAUUUAUAAUAUCCAUAUAUAUCCAUAACAGCAGCACCUGUGUAUGCAAGUGAACUGUACAAAUUAAUUUCAUCAUUUAUGAUUUCUGAGGGUAUAGAAAAUUUACUUUGUUUUUAUUUUUAGGUCUAGACAAAAAACUUUCAUUAUUUGUAUUUUUUUUUAAGUUGCCUUUCUCUCUCUGGCUCUUUAUCAUUUCAGUCUGAACUUUGUUGCCCUUGUCUUUUGUUCUGACUGCCACUUCACAAUUGAACAGCAAAUGAAUCCACUUACAGCCUCUUUAUUUCUUCAUUGGUACGGAAAGUGAACAAAACUAACACUUACCGUUAUCCUCCUCCUCCUGAAGCCACAGCCCACCAUGGUAAAUUGUUCCCAUUCAAAAUGUCUGUGAUGAUAGCCAGAGCAAUUCUUUGUUCUGAAGCACCCAAAUAAUUUCUCAACCCGUUUAUUUGAUGAAAAACACCUUCAUGUGUUUCAGUAAAAAAAAUGGGUUUUCUGUAGCAGGUUUGAAAUUGUGUCAUUAAAAUCAAAAUGGAAUAGAACAAAGGACACUUCUUGUGUACCAUACAAUGUAUGCAGGGUUGAAUGCAUCUAAGAUGUGAGAUCAGGAUGCAGAGUUUGCAGCUGCUUCCCCUUUAUAGAAUAAGAAUUACACACUGUGCUAGCAAUGCUAAUCCUUUGCCCAUGUCUGAUAAAUUCUCUCCUGGUUGUACAUGCUGAAAUUUUGAGUUUGAGAAUCAUGACAAAAUCCAUGAUUCUAAGAAUAGAGCACUUUCAGGUAUUUGAAAAAGUCGAAGUUUUACCUAAAUUCAACCACCCCAUCUGCAAAACAGCAUAAUAAUGUUAUGCAUUGCUAGCGAAGGAAUUUAAUUUUUUUUCCUAGGAUUUUUUUGGUGUGUAAUUUUUUUGUGUGUAAGGAGCUGGAGACAGGAUGUCCUGCCAGA